rnacentral:rRNA from 1 species
CAUGCAUGUCUAAGUACAAACUAUUUUAAAAGUGAAACCGCAAAAGGCUCAUUAUAUCAGUUAUGGUUUAUUAGAUCAUUAAUCAGUUACUUGGAUAACUGUGGUAAUUCUAGAGCUAAUACAUGCAAUAUAAACAUGAACCUUUAAUGGAACAUGUGCUUUUAUUAGUAUAAAACCAAGCGAUUUUUUUUAUUAAAAAUCGUUCAUAAUUGGUUGAACUCUAAAUAAUUUGCCAAUCGUAUGGUCUUGUACCGACGAUAGAUCUUUUAAAUGUCUGCCCUAUCAACUAUUGAUGGUAGUAUUUAGGACUACCAUGGUUGCAACGGGUAACGGGGAAUCAGGGUUCGAUUCCGGAGAGGGAGCCUGAGAAACAGCUACCACAUCUAAGGAAGGCA